GACGAACGCUGGCGGCGUGCUUAACACAUGCAAGUCGAGCGGAGCGGCGGACGGGCGAGUAAUGCCUAGGAAUCUGCCUGGUAGUGGGGGAUAACGUCCGGAAACGGGCGCUAAUCCCGCAUACUACCAGAUGACCCUAGGUAGGAUUAGCUAGUUGGUGGGGUAAAGGCUUACCAAGGCGACGAUCCGUAACUGGUCUGAGAGGAUGAUCAGUCACACGGGAACUGAGACACGGUCCAGACUCCUACGGGAGGCAGCAGUAGGGAAUAUUGGACAAUGGGCGAAAGCCUGAUCCAGCCAUGCCGCGUGUGUGAAGAAGGUCUUCGGAUUGUAAAUCACUUUAAGUUGGGAGGCGUUACCAACAGAAUAAGCACCGGCUAACUUCGUGCCAGCAGCCGCGGUAAUAC
rnacentral:rRNA from 1 species